rnacentral:tRNA from 1 species
GCGGGUGUCGUAUAGUGGCUUAUUAUAUCAGCCUUCCAAGCUGAGGAUGGCGGUUCGAUUCCGCUCACCCGCUCCA